UUAAUAUCAAGCCUCCGGCGCGGGGGAAUGCGGUGCGAUCCCGCAGCGGCCCCGCCACUGUGACCGGCAACGGAAGUCAGGAUACCUGCGCGGGGGGAAGCGGAUGU
rfam:Synergistes sp. 3_1_syn1 genomic scaffold supercont1.5, whole genome shotgun sequence.